rnacentral:rRNA from 1 species
UGUAGAAUACAAGGGAGUGAACACAUCAGUGAAAUACCUUGCUAAGUUAACACGAAUGACUUACUUUGAAAAAGAGGACAGUGUCAUAUGGUCAGUUUUGCUGGGGCGGUAGCCUCUAAAAAAGUAUCAGAGGCCUUCAAAGGUAUAUUUAAAUUGGUCAGAAACCAAUGGAAAAUUAAUUUCCAUCAAAGUGUAAUGAUAAAGUAUGCUUUACUGAUAGAUUGAUAAAUCGAUCAGCUACGCAAGUAGGACAUAGUGAU